rnacentral:rRNA from 1 species
AUUGAACGCUGGCGGCAGGCUUAACACAUGCAAGUCGAGCGGAGAUGAGGUGCUUGCACCUUAUCUUAGCGGCGGACGGGUGAGUAAUGCUUAGGAAUCUGCCUAUUAGUGGGGGACAACAUUCCGAAAGGAAUGCUAAUACCGCAUACGUCCUACGGGAGAAAGCAGGGGAUCUUCGGACCUUGCGCUAAUAGAUGAGCCUAAGUCGGAUUAGCUAGUUGGUGGGGUAAAGGCCUACCAAGGCGACGAUGUGUAGCGGGUCUGAGAGGAUGAUCCGCCACAAUGGGACUGAGACACGGCCCAGACUCCUACGGGAGGCAGCAGUGGGGAAUAUUGGACAAUGGGGGGAACCCUGAUCCAGCCAUGCCGCGUGUGUGAAGAAGGCCUUAUGGUUGUAAAGCACUUUAAGCGAGGAGGAGGCUACUGAGACUAAUACUCUUGGAUAGUGGACGUUACUCGCAGAAUAAGCACCGGCUAACUCUGUGCCAGCAGCCGCGGUAA